rnacentral:rRNA from 1 species
UACGGAGGGUGCAAGCGUUAUCCGGAUUCACUGGGUUUAAAGGGUGCGUAGGUGGGCAGGUAAGUCCGUGGUGAAAUCUCUGAGCUUAACUCAGAAACUGCCGUGGAUACUAUUUGUCUUGAAUGUUGUGGAGGUGAGCGGAAUAUGUCAUGUAGCGGUGAAAAUGCUUAGAUAUGACAUAGAACACCAAUUGCGAAGGCAGCUCACUACACAAUUAUUUGACGCUGAGGCACGAAAGCGUGGGGGAUCAAAACAGG